rnacentral:rRNA from 1 species
UACGUAGGGGGCAAGCGUUGUCCGGAUUUAUUGGGCGUAAAGAGCGUGUAGGCGGCCAUACAGGACCGUUGUGAAAACUGGAGGCUUAACCUCCAGACGUCGAUGGAAACCGUAUGGCUAGAGUCCGGAAGAGGAGAGUGGAAUUCCUGGUGUAGCGGUGAAAUGCGCAGAUAUCAGGAAGAACACCCGUGGCGAAGGCGGCUCUCUGGGACGGUACUGACGCUGAGACGCGAAAGCGUGGGGAGCGAACAGG